rnacentral:siRNA from 1 species
AUUCCGAAAUGCCAAACUCGAAA